rnacentral:rRNA from 1 species
AUUGAACGCUGGCGGCAGGCCUAACACAUGCAAGUCGAACGAGUGGCGGACGGGUGAGUAAUGUCUGGGAAACUGCCCGAUGGAGGGGGAUAACUACUGGAAACGGUAGCUAAUAACGCAUACCAUCGGAUGUGCCCAGAUGGGAUUAGCUAGAAGGUGGGGUAACGGCUCACCUAGGCGACGAUCCCUAGCUGGUCUGAGAGGAUGACCAGCCAAGCUGGAACUGAGACCGCGUCCAGACUCCUACGGGAGGCGGCAUUGGGGAAUAUUGCACAAUGGGCGCAAGCCUGAUGCAUCCAUGCCGCUUAUAUGAAGAAGGCCUUCGGGUUGUAAAGUACUUUCAGCGAGGAGGCGUUACUCGCAGAAGAAGCACCGGCUAACUCCGUGCCAGCCGCCGCGGUAAUAC